rnacentral:tmRNA from 1 species
GGGGGCGUACUGGUUUCGACGUGUUGUUGAGAGCUGUGAGCGCAUGUCGAGCUUUGGCUGAGUAGCUCGUUAAUCAAACAGUCAUAAACAAGAAGUGCAGACUUCAAAACUACUCUCGCCUACGCUUAGUUUGUCGAGAGUUGCGUAACACAUAGUUUACGCCGGGUUUUUUAGUGGUUUAUCUAUCGGUUGCUCUAAAACUCGUAUUAACUUUAGAUAGAUCUGAUUUAGCAAGGUUUUGUUGUUGUAUAGUUAAAUCAGUAUCACAAAACUGCCGUAUAAGCUUACUCUGUCUUUGUAGUUGCUUGUAUGUAUAUACAGAGACUAAACAUGUAGUGCUUGGAGCUUGAUAUAAUGCGGACAUGGGUUCGACUCCCAUCGCCUCCACCA